UUCCUGGUAGCUCAGAUGGUAAAGAAUCUGCCUGCAGGAGACCUGGGUUCGAUCCCUGGCUAGGGAA
rnacentral:tRNA from 1 species